ensembl:lncRNA
AAUUUCUGGAAUUACAUUUAUUUUCAUCCUGCUCUUGUUGUAUUGCUGUAAAAAGUUCAAAGGUGCUGCUAAUGAGCAGACGCUGAGUCAGGAUGAAGAUCAGCAGCAAGUGUACUCCUCUCUUCUUCAUGGUGAUCGUUGUGUCUAUGAGACAGUCAGAAGAUGUGAAAACACUGAAAAUGGUCCAGCAGAAGGUGAUUACAACAAUGUCACAUCUGGGAUUCAGCUCAGUCAUUAACAAGACAAGGCAACGUGGUGACCCAGAGGAGAGCUCUGACUACAAUAAUGUCAAUCCAAAUUCAGCCACAGCUCUUAACAGCAGCUCUUCAGCUGUUUUGUAAUUGUCGAUUGAGCCAGCACCGAAAAUGUAUUUAAUGGUAAAGAAAGAAGACUCCACAAGAACCACCUGCAGACCACCCUGUGUGAUGCUGCACUUGCCAAAAGACAAACUCUUGCAGUACUCCAUCCAUGUCAGAUAAAGUGACACUGCCAGAGACUUCCCAUUCAGGCAAACACCAGACCUCUUAUAUCCAUCAGAUCACUUGAAAUAACUGUACAUACUUGGUAAAUGGCCUGCAUUUGUAUAGCGCUUUUCUAGUCCAUAG